rnacentral:rRNA from 1 species
GACGAACGCUGGCGGCGUGCUUAACACAUGCAAGUCGAACGGAAAGGCCCUGCUUUUGUGGGGUGCUCGAGUGGCGAACGGGUGAGUAACACGUGAGUAACCUGCCCUUGACUUUGGGAUAACUUCAGGAAACUGGGGCUAAUACCGGAUAGGAGCUCCUGCUGCAUGGUGGGGGUUGGAAAGUUUCGGCGGUUGGGGAUGGACUCGCGGCUUAUCAGCUUGUUGGUGGGGUAGUGGCUUACCAAGGCUUUGACGGGUAGCCGGCCUGAGAGGGUGACCGGCCACAAUGGGACUGAGAUACGGACCAGAAUCCUACGGGAGGGAGAAGGGGGGAAUAGUGCACAAUGGGCGGAAGCCUGAUGCAGCAACGCCGCGUGCGGGAUGACGGCCUUCGGGUUGUAAAACGCUUUCGGCUGUGACGAAGCGGGAGUGACGGUAAUGGGUAAAGAAGCACCGGCUAACUACGUG